GGCAAGCUCGCGGGCUUCGAGACCGUCGAUGUGCUUCCUGAGCGCAUCACCGCUCGGGUCGGUGCCUACUUCCGGCGCGUGACGC
rnacentral:tRNA from 1 species